GGUGUGUACCUGUGUCUCUCUCCGUCCCUGAGACCCUAACUUGUGACGUUGUGCCUUCGUGUCCACGGGUUAGGCUCUCGGGAGCUGAGAGGGGUCCACGUCCAGCUCCGUCGGC
rnacentral:miRNA from 1 species